rnacentral:rRNA from 1 species
GAUGAACGCUGGCGGCGUGCCUAAUACAUGCAAGUCGAGCGAACAGAUGAGGAGCUUGCUCCUCUGACGUUAGCGGCGGACGGGUGAGUAACACGUGGAUAACCUACCUAUAAGACUGGGAUAACUUCGGGAAACCGGAGCUAAUACCGGAUAAUAUAUUGAACCGCAUGGUUCAAUAGUGAAAGACGGUUUUGCUGUCACUUAUAGAUGGAUCCGCGCCGCAUUAGCUAGUUGGUAAGGUAACGGCUUACCAAGGCAACGAUGCGUAGCCGACCUGAGAGGGUGAUCCGCCACACUGGAACUGAGACACGGUCCAGAAUCCUACGGGAGGCAGCAGUAGGGAAUCUUCCGCAAUGGGCGAAAGCCUGACGGAGCAACGCCGCGUGAGUGAUGAAGGUCUUCGGAUCGUAAAACCCUGUUAUUAGGGAAGAACAAAUGUGGAAGUAACCAUGGACGUUUUGACGGUACCUAAUCAGAAAGCCACGGCUAACUACGUG